GCUGCCAAGACGGCACACGAGUAUGCCUACGGACA
rnacentral:tRNA from 1 species